GACGAACUGUCCUAACGUUGUUCGGAAUCACUGGGCUUAAAGGGCGCGUAGGCGGUCCAACAAGUCGGGGGUGAAAUCCUGCAGCUCAACUGCAGAAGUGCCUUCGAUACUGUUGGUCUUGAGGGAAAUAGGGGUGUGCGGAACUUCCGGUGGAGCGGUGAAAUGCGUUGAUAUCGGAAGGAACGCCGGUGGCGAAAGCGGCGCACUGGAUUUCUUCUGACGCUGAGGCGCGAAAGCCAGGGGAGCAAAGCGGG
rnacentral:rRNA from 1 species